AUGUCAUGAUGUGGACACUUCCUAAGCAAAUUAUUAAAUCUUUCCCGUGCCUCAUGAAAAAAUUCCCUAUCCUCUUGAGAAAAUUCAGGAAUGGAAGUUCUCAUAGCAU